GUGCCAGCAGCCGCGGUGAUACGUAGGUGGCAAGCGUUGUCCGGAUUUAUUGGGCGUAAAGCGAGCGCAGGCGGUUUCUUAAGUCUGAUGUGAAAGCCCCCGGCUCAACCGGGGAGGGUCAUUGGAAACUGGGAGACUUGAGUGCAGAAGAGGAGAGUGGAAUUCCAUGUGUAGCGGUGAAAUGCGUAGAUAUAUGGAGGAACACCAGUGGCGAAGGCGGCUCUCUGGUCUGUAACUGACGCUGAGGCUCGAAAGCGUGGGGAGCGAACAGGAUUAGAUACCCUGGUAGUCCACGCCGUAAACGAUGAGUGCUAAGUGUUGGAGGGUUUCCGCCCUUCAGUGCUGCAGCAAACGCAUUAAGCACUCCGCCUGGGGAGUACGACCGCAAGGUUGAAACUCAAAGGAAUUGACGGGGGCCCGCACAAGCGGUGGAGCAUGUGGUUUAAUUCGAAGCAACGCGAAGAACCUUACCAGGUCUUGACAUCCUUUGACCACUCUAGAGAUAGAGCUUCCCCUUCGGGGGCAAAGUGACAGGUGGUGCAUGGUUGUCGUCAGCUCGUGUCGUGAGAUGUUGGGUUAAGUCCCGCAACGAGCGCAACCCUUAUUGUUAGUUGCCAUCAUUUAGUUGGGCACUCUAGCGAGACUGCCGGUGACAAACCGGAGGAAGGUGGGGAUGACGUCAAAUCAUCAUGCCCCUUAUGACCUGGGCUACACACGUGCUACAAUGGGAAGUACAACGAGUUGCGAAGUCGCGAGGCUAAGCUAAUCUCUUAAAGCUUCUCUCAGUUCGGAUUGUAGGCUGCAACUCGCCUACAUGAAGCCGGAAUCGCUAGUAAUCGCGGAUCAGCACGCCGCGGUGAAUACGUUCCCGGGCCUUGUACACACCGCCCGUCACACCACGAGAGUUUGUAACACCCGAAGUCGGUGAGGUAACCUUUUUGGAGCCAGCCGCCUAAGGUGGGAUAGAUGAUUGGGGUGAAGUCGAACAAGGUAACCGAA
rnacentral:rRNA from 1 species